rnacentral:lncRNA from 1 species
CGGCUUCCUCACCGGGUUCCUUGGAUUCAACGCAACGCUCAGAUUAACCAGGGCUUUGAUUCUAUCGGGGCGAAACAAGCAAAAAUGCCAUGCGAUGAAAGCGCCCCAGUCGUGGCCGACUAAGAACACCUGGUCAAUACCGAGCGCGUCAAGGAGGCCAACGAGGUCGCCGACGAUGUGGAGAACGGUGUAGGAUUCGAUAGAAGGAGGAGCGUCGGUGUCGCCGUAGCCGCGGAGGUCAGGGGCUAUGGCGCGGUAGCCGAGAGCGGAGAGAGCGAGGAGCUGGUGGCGCCAGGUGUACC